GAGCCUGUGGCUCAAAGGGGUAGGGCACCGGCCCCAUAUGCCGGAGGUGGCAGGUUCA
rnacentral:tRNA from 1 species